CCGGAUCCUCGUUGGCAAGAUACAUCAUCCUAUAGAGUGGGCGGUACGGGGAAAAUUAGUCUUACAUAAAAAGAAAAAAUAGGUGGAGCUGGUCUAAAUGCGAGGUUUUUUAAAGUUAACCAUGAGAAAGUAACUCAGGACAAUCAAUCGUCCCAUCAAUAAGCUUACGUAACCUUAUCAUAGUUAACUCGUCUAUCAGCUAAGGACUGUAUACAACCUAAUUGAUACUGGUUCAUAAU